rnacentral:rRNA from 1 species
AACGAACGCUAGCGGCAGGCUUAACACAUGCAAGUCGAACGCAUCCUUCGGGGUGAGUGGCAGACGGGUGAGUAACGCGUGGGAACGUGCCCUUCAGUUCGGGAUAACCCAGGGAAACUUGGGCUAAUACCGGAUACGUGCGAGAGCAGAAAGAUUUAUCGCUGAAGGAUCGGCCCGCGUCUGAUUAGCUAGUUGGUGGGGUAAUGGCCCACCAAGGCGACGAUCAGUAGCUGGUCUGAGAGGAUGAUCAGCCACAUUGGGACUGCGACACGGCCCAAACUCCUACGGGAGGCAGCAGUGGGGAAUAUUGGACAAUGGGCGCAAGCCUGAUCCAGCCAUGCCGCGUGAGUGAUGAAGGCCUUAGGGUUGUAAGGCUCUUUCGUCCGGGACGAUAAUGACGGUACCGGAAGAAGAAGCCCCGGCUAACUUCGUGCCAGCCGCCGCAGUAACAC